rnacentral:lncRNA from 1 species
UUCGAGCAGGCGAGCGGGCAGGUGUGAACGAGUGGCUCAUCACCCGGAAGCUUGUCGACCAUUUAGCCUGCCUUUCUUCCUCUUCAGGCUGUCAAGGUGCGGUCCUAGUUCGCUGACUCGGAGAAGCUCAUUGAGACGGUCCGCGUCUUACCAGGGAAGGAAAUUGAGAAAAGCUCGAACCUUGUUCGACUUUGCUUCACUUUUGUUCGCAUUGAUAGGCACUUAGUUUCUGCUCAAUUUAGUUUCUUUAAGACAUAAAUAAAGAGUGAUAGUUUUCUCGGUCAGUACCUGAAUUUGUACGGGAAAUAGAAAAGAUUUAGCAUGAGGAGAGGUGAUAGAUUCUUUUCCAGAUUGAUAUUGUAGUUUUAUGAAGGUUAAUUUAGAGUAGGCCACAUUUCCUCAAAAGAUUUGAAUAGCACAUUUGGUCUUAAUUGUAGAUCGCAUUCUUGAAGAAAAACUUGAAUAUGUUACAGUAAAUGAUGACAAAAUCUCUACUAUGAUUCACUCAUAAAGGCUGUUUUAAGUGCUAUUAUUUACAACUCUGCAAGUGAAACUGCAGUAGGAAUACUAAGAUCUGAUAUUUUAGAAGGCAGUAUUUGGAUUAUUCAUGACACUGGUCUAUAUACCCGGAUUCAGAUAGUGAACAGGCGAUAGUGGCAGUAUUUGGAUUCAAAUAGGAUGGUAUUAUGUUUAUGAUUUCAGUGGUUGGGAUGAUAUUUUCUUUUGUGGUGAACAUGCCAUGAUUUAUCUUGGACAAUAAGUUGAUAUAUCCACUGAUUGACACAAUAUUUUCGAUUGACCAUGUAAGUGGUUUCUGAAGCACAGUAGAACCCAUGUUGAAAAGAAUAUUUGGGAAAAAGAUUAAAAAGGGGAGUAUUGAGCUAUGUAUCCCUUCUCAUCUGUCCCAAGGAUGGGAUUUUGUGUGCUCCUCUUCUUUCCUUCAUUACUUUAGCAGCACAAAUAAACCCCUAAAAAGGGUCUGUUAUCUUCUUUCUGGAAGUCAUGAUCUUUAUGCAAAAACAAACAAUUAACUUUAGCGUUGACUUGGGGAAGUAUGUCUUUGCUAGCUCCAGCUUCUAUCAGAAUUGUUGUAAUGGAAAUAAUGAGAUAAGGGACAGUCCAGAAGAUAGCAGAACUGGGGAUGAUGGUGAUGAGGAGGAUGACUCUGAUGGGCUCCCACAGAAGAUAGAGAAUGUCUCAGGGAGUUUGGAUUCUUCUUUUAAGAUACUAUGUGAGUCAAUUCAGAAGUUUGAUGAGAUCUAUGAGAAGAUGCAGAAUCACAAGAGGCAGCAGAUGGCAGAGCUGGAAAGGAUGAGGAAGGAGUUCCAAAAGGAAUGUAUAGCUGCUGAGAAGGUAGAUUCUGGAAAGGGCACAACUGGAUAUUGCAAAAUUAAGCUGGGAACAAUGGCAGGAAGAUCAUGAUAAAGAUACAAAUGAUAGGGAGGAGGAGGAUGUCGAUGGUAAUGAUGAUGGUUCUGCUGAAAACUUAAGUGGGUAGAGUAAGCAUCAACCAUGGAGUAAAUUUUCUGUUCCUGAUUGGCUUUACAGAAUUGGAUUUUUUUGUUAAUAUCAUCUUGUCUUAUUGUAUGGUGGUACAUUGAAGCUCCAUUAUUGUUUGUUAUUAUUUUUGCUUCUUAUUCGUCCAUUAGUUUGGUUUUGUGAAAAGAAUCAUCAAGCUCACAUCUAGGUAAUGUUAUUAAGUUUAUCAUAUUUUAUGUUGUCGGCAGCAGCACUUAAAAGAGUUACUUCAGUAGCAUCUUAAACUGCACAGUAUUGUUGGAAAGCUUUUAUGAUGUUGGAUAUGGACUUAUCAUCUAGAAAAUGGUUGUGCAUUUAAAUUGGAUAGUUUUGGAUCUGCAUUAUUCCAAUGUUAAAAUCUUCCCAAUUUUGUUUGCUAGUGAAAAAAAAAGUAUAUUUUCUUCUAAAUUAUAGGAAUUUAAGUGGACAUACAAAACCUAAGUUGAUCUUGGUAAGUGCUUGGGCUGCACUAAAUGUCUUGAACUUGUUCUCAACUUGUUCAUAGUAUUUGUCCAGUACAAUUAUAUUUCUGUUCAUUUACCUAAUUCCUAUUGUUUGAUCACGCUUUAGAUAGUCAUAUUAUGAUAUAUUUGUCUUUGAAAAUUGAAGAACUAUUGACCGAUGAAGGUAACCAAGAGUAGAAUAUGAUCCUACAUAAUUUUAUUCCAAAACAAGGAGAGUCCUACUAUGUUUCUUAGUUGCUUAAAGAAAAAGAUGAUAACCUCGAAAAUUUAUUAGGAUACUAACCAUCCGUCUUUUACUUUUACAGAAAGUGUGUAAUUUUUAUAGAUCACAUUGAUAUUACAUAAGCAAAUUCCGGUGUGGCUUGUUCCAUGCUUCUGAUUUAUUGUUUUCCUGUUCUUGUAGGUUUAUAGCUGCAUCCUUUUACCUUGCUGCCUUUGAAUUAGAAAGAGGAAGCCAAUGUGGAGCAAUGGCUCCAAGAGAGCCAAACAGGAAAGUCCACUCAACAUCUGAUUGCAAACAAAGGCACGAUGUCUUGUUCAGAGCAACAGAGAAAUCUUUGUAAGAUGUCUUGAGAGCUUGCUAACAUUGCAAGAGUUGGUGGGGUUUCACACCAUUGAGAUCGUACUACUGAGUUUUGUAAUAUUGCAGCUGUUCCUUAAUUGAAAGAAGGAUCUUUCUUUAAAGAAAAUUCAUCUCCCC